rnacentral:lncRNA from 1 species
CUGCCUGUCGUCGCCCUCCUGCGCCACCACUCGGCCUCCCCCUGUCGUCGCCCUCCUGCGCCACCGUUCGCCGCCGCAGUCAUCCCAGCCUCCCCAGUCGGCUCUCACUCCACCAAUUCAUCCCAAUUCCCAAUUCAUCCCAAUUCCCUCAGUUAAGAAGGCGAUCGAGGGGUGAGAAUGUUCGAUGGGAGCGAGCAGUUCCACCAAUUCAUAGCUUCGUCGAGAGCUUCACUACUCAUCUCUCUUCCCUUCCCCACUCUCCCCUCCUUCGACCCCUACGCGCCGCCGCUGCACCACCCUUCCUCCGCCAAGAAGUACCCCUUAAUCUCCACCAAUCUCGCCCUCGAGAGCGACCCCUCCACCGCCGAUCCAUGGUCGCACGACGAGCUCCUCGCGCUGCUCAAACUCAGAUCUAAAUUCUUCUUCUUUUUUUUAAUGCAGAUUUCGAAUUUUGACCGGGUAAUUUCGGGUACCCGAAUACCCGACUCGGGUACCCGAGUCGGGUAUUAGGGUACCCGAUUUCAUUUUCGGGGUCGGGG